rnacentral:lncRNA from 1 species
GGCCCUUAUCUGUUUAUACCAAACACGGUGGGGGGGGGGUGCCCGGGCUGACUGUGUACAGUGACAACAGGGGCUGAGCCCCGGGAAGGAAGCCAUCCCCCAGGCGGUCUCUAUUUGUCCAUAAACACAGUCCACCCCACGCCCCAGGGCGGAGGAGGGGCAAAGAAACCAGCCCAGCUGGAGCUGCCUUCCCACUGCUUUCCUGGCAGGGGGCACUCCCAGGCACCCAGGCACACCACCUCCUCCUCAUAGGCUCCAUCUCCCUCCCAGCACCACCCCCUGAGUUGUUUCCACAGCAAGUGAAAGGAUGAAAAUGCAACCUAAAACCCCCAAGACCCCAAGAAGAUAAUAAAGAAAAAGCCCUAGAUGCCCCUGAAUUCCAGAAACUCAUCCCUGCCAAGUAAAUACGUCACACUUGUUGUUGCAUCGGGGCCUGUUUUACGUCCUUUCACCUAGUUUUUUUCUAUGAAACUGGGUGGGAGGAUGUGAAACAGGCCUUGGGUGAAACUGCUGGCCUAAGCAAGGUAACAGGAUCUGAGUUGACUAAACGCUUAUCUGGCUUCUGUAAAACUGCUUGCAAAUAUUGAUUGCACAACUGCAAAAUGACACACCACCCACGAGCCCGCGCUAAUAUAGACCUCCUGAUUGGUCCUCAGAACGCGUACUUUAAAAUGAUUCGUCUUCCAGGCGCGGGCUCUUGAUGCGCGAGCUUUGUUGUGAACCCCAUUAAAGCUGUCCGCACUCGGGGCCGCAGUCCUCUACCCCUGCCUGGCAUACGACUGUGGGCCCCAGCGUGCUUGAAAUAAAAAUCCUCUUGCUGUUUGCAACAAGACCGCUUCUCGUGAGUGAUUUGCAGUGUCGCCUCUUCCGAGUCCAGACGAGGGGGAUUUUCCUUCUCCUGGCCUUUUCAUUUGGUGCGUUGGCCGGGAAUACCCCGCGACCACCCCUCACACCCGAGAACCGACUUGGAGCCUACUUGGGAUGAUUGUCAACAGCUGCUGCAGACACUCUUCACAACCGAGGGGCAAGAGAGAAUUCUGUUAGAGGCUAGAAAAAAAUGUUCCUGGGGCCGAUGGGUGGCCCACGC